rnacentral:rRNA from 1 species
CCUACGGGAGGCUGCAGUGAGGAAUAUUGGUCAAUGGCCGCAGGGCUGAACCAGCCAAGUCGCGUGAGGGAUGACGGUCCUAUGGAUUGUAAACCUCUUUUGUCAGGGAGCAAAGGGCGCCACGUGUGGCGCUUUGCGAGUACCUGAAGAAAAAGCAUCGGCUAACUCCGUGCCAGCAGCCGCGGUAAUACGGAGGAUGCGAGCGUUAUCCGGAUUUAUUGGGUUUAAAGGGUGCGCAGGCGGAAUGUCAAGUCAGCGGUAAAAUUUCGGGGCUCAACCCCGUCGUGCCGUUGAAACUGGCGUUCUUGAGUGAGCGAGAAGUAUGCGGAAUGCGUGGUGUAGCGGUGAAAUGCUUAGAUAUCACGCAGAACUCCGAUUGCGAAGGCAGCAUACCGGCGCGCAACUGACGCUCAUGCACGAAAGCGUGGGUAUCGAACAGGAUUAGAUACCCCAGUAGUC